GCUGGCGGCAUGCCUACACAUGCAAGUCGAACGCUCUCGGGGCUUCGGUUCCGGGGGAGUGGCGCACGGGUGAGUAGCGCGUGGGAACCUGCCCUGUUGUGGGGGAUAACCGAGGGAAACUUCGGCUAAUACCGCAUGCGCCCGGGGGUGACUCCGGGGAAAGAUUUAUCGCAGCAGGAGGGGCCCGCGUCGGAUUAGCUAGUUGGUGGGGUAACGGCCCACCAAGGCGAUGAUCCGUAGCUGGUCUGAGAGGAUGAUCAGCCACACUGGGACUGAGACACGGCCCAGACUCCUACGGGAGGCAGCAGUGGGGAAUAUUGGACAAUGGGCGCAAGCCUGAUCCAGCAAUGCCGCGUGAGUGAUGAAGGCCUUAGGGUUGUAAAGCUCUUUCGCCCGCGACGAUGAUGACGGUAGCGGGAGAA
rnacentral:rRNA from 1 species